AGCAGUCGCCACGGUAAUACGGAGGGUGCAAGCGUUAAUCGGAAUUACUGGGCGUAAAGCGCACGCAGGCGGUUUGUUAAGUCAGAUGUGAAAUCCCCGGGCUCAACCUGGGAACUGCAUUUGAAACUGGCAAGCUAGAGUCUCGUAGAGGGGGGUAGAAUUCCAGGUGUAUCGGUGAAAUGCGUAGAGAUCUGGAGGAAUACCGGUGGCGAAGGCGGCCCCCUGGACGAAGACUGACGCUCAGGUGCGAAAGCGUGGGGAGCAAACAGGAUUAGAUACCCGGGUAGUCCCUGUCUCUUAUAC
rnacentral:rRNA from 1 species